rnacentral:rRNA from 1 species
AGUGGCGGACGGGUGAGUAACGCGUGGGUAACCUGCCUCAUACAGGGGGAUAACAGUUAGAAAUGACUGCUAAUACCGCAUAAGACCACAGCACCGCAUGGUGCAGGGGUAAAAACUCCGGUGGUAUGAGAUGGACCCGCGUCUGAUUAGGUAGUUGGUGGGGUAACGGCCUACCAAGCCGACGAUCAGUAGCCGACUUGAGAGGGUGACCGGCCACAUUGGGACUGAGACACGGUCCAA